AGUGAACGCUGGCGGUAGGCCUAACACAUGUAAGUCGAACGGCAGCACAGUAAGGGCUUGCUCUUACGGGUGGCGAGUGGCGGACGGGUGCGGAAUACAUCGGAAUCUACUUUUUCGUGGGGGAUAACGUAGGGAAACUUACGCUAAUACCGCAUACGACCUACGGGUGAAAGCAGGGGAUCUUCGGACCUUGCGCGAUUGAAUGAGCCGAUGUCGGAUUAGCUAGUUGGCGGGGUAAAGGCCCACCAAGGCGACGAUCCGUAGCUGGUCUGAGAGGAUGAUCAGCCACACUGGAACUGAGACACGGUCCAGACUCCUACGGGAGGCAGCAGUGGGGAAUAUUGGACAAUGGGCGCAAGCCUGAUCCAGCCAUACCGCGUGGGUGAAGAAGGCCUUCGGGUUGUAAAGCCCUUUUGUUGGGAAAGAAAAGCAGCAGGUUAAUACCCCGCUGUUCUGACGGUACCCAAAGAAUAAGCACCGGCUAACUUCGUG
rnacentral:rRNA from 1 species